GACGAACGCUGGCGGCGUGCUUAACACAUGCAAGUCGAACGGAAAGGCCCUGCUUUUGUGGGGUGCUCGAGUGGCGAACGGGUGAGUAACACGUGAGUAACCUGCCCUUGACUUUGGGAUAACUUCAGGAAACUGGGGCUAAUACCGGAUAGGAGCUCCUGCUGCAUGGUGGGGGUUGGAAAGUUUCGGCGGUUGGGGAUGGACUCGCGGCUUAUCAGCUUGUUGGUGGGGUAGUGGCUUACCAAGGCUUUGACGGGUAGCCGGCCUGAGGGGGUGACCGGCCACAUUGGGACUGAGAUACGGCCCAGACUCCUACGGGAGGCAGCAGUGGGGAAUAUUGCACAAUGGGCGGAAGCCUGAUGCUGCAACGCCGCGUGCGGGAUGACGGCCUUCGGGUUGUAAACCGCUUUCGCCUGUGACGAAGCGUGAGUGACGGUAAUGGGUAAAGAAGCACCGGCUAACUACGUG
rnacentral:rRNA from 1 species